rnacentral:lncRNA from 1 species
UUCCCUUUUUGUUCUUUUAAGUAUUAUGUAGAAUGUGUAGUAAGAAAGUAGAAAACAAAGAAUUAACUAUUGCUAAUCUUACAAUACUACAAACAUUUUUAUUCAUUUCAAAAGUUUCACACCACAUACGAUUCAAACAAAACAAUGAAUUACUUUAACAUAUGACUACAUAACCAUAACUUUUCUCUUAUAAUUUUCAAAUACACCAACAUAAUUUAAAGCUUCAGCAUCCAUAUAUCUCUCUUGAUGAAGUGUUCCAUACUUUCACCAAAUCAGGAUUCCUUCACAUUAUUUGAUCUCACGACCUUCAAAAUCUGAUGUAUCCAAGAUCUGAUAUUUUAAAAAAAAAAAAAAAAAAAUCACCAAACUGAUUAAGGGAAAAGGGUAAGUAGCAGUAUAACAUUUUAAACUCAUAUGGAGUAAUAUCAACGUUACUAGACUCUUUUGCAGGAAAUUCACCUUCAAAAAGAAAACAAAAAUAAACAACAAGAAAGAAAAAAGUUCAAGAAUUUCAGUAACCAAAAUAUCACAAAUCUCAUUUCACUCGAAAAGAAAAGUCCAAAUGUACAUAACACGAGUUAGAGUAGAUGAAUCUGAUUGCAAAUCGAGAUUCUGACAGCGGUAAUUGCUGAAUUUUAGUUCUAGCAGGCGGCCCUUCUAGGUCUGAAACGAAUCAAAAGGUUCAAUCAAAAGAAAUCUCAAGACUAUAGAUGGAAAAUCUAGGGUUAUCAACAAAUAGUCAAAAGCAGUUAAGAAACAAAAUACAUAAGAUUGAGAUUUAUAAUACUUAUAUUGAAGCAAAAUCGUACCGGCGGAUUGUGAUCAGAAUGAGUGAAAGAUAUGGAGAUGAACUAAUGAAGUUUCAUAGUUCUUACGGUUGCGGCUUGAAGAGUUGUGGAGAAAUAGGGUUGACUGUUGUUUUUAACUUUCU